AAUAACACGCCUUCGGGGCUCUUGGUGAAACAUAAUAACUUAACGAAUCGCAUGGCCUUGUCGCCGGCGAUGGUUCAUUCAAAUUUCUGCCCUAUCAACUUUCGAUGGUAGGAUAGUGGCCUACCAUGGUGGCAACGGGUAACGGGGAAUUAGGGUUCGAUUCCGGAGAGGGAGCCUGAGAAACGGCUACCACAUCCAAGGAAGGCAGCAGGCGCGCAAAUUACCCAAUCCCGAUACGGGGAGGUAGUGACAAUAAAUACUGAUACGGGGCUCUUUCGGGUCUCGUAAUUGGAAUGAGAACAAUUUAAAUCCCUUAACGAGGAACAAUUGGAGGGCAAGUCUGGUGCCAGCAGCCGCGGUAAUUCCAGCUCCAAUAGCGUAUAUUAAAGUUGUUGCAGUUAAAAAGCUCGUAGUUGAACCUUGGGUCUGGCUGGCCGGUCCGCCUCACCGCGAUGUACUGGUCCGGCUGGACCUUUCCUUCUGGGGAACCCNCAUGGCCUUCACUGGCUGUGNGGGGAAC
rnacentral:rRNA from 1 species